GCACAGCAGUAGCCACCCUGAGGGGCCACUUCAUGCUGCUGUCAGUGGAGCUCAGUGGUGAGCUGGGAGUGUUCCCGGAGAAAGUCUUUGGAAGGAGCACUGGAGUAGGAGUCAGGGAAGCUGAGCUGUCCACCUGAUUCCACCGCGACCUGAGUGACCUUCUCCAAGUCACUUUUCCACUCCGGAACUCAGUUUCUGCUUGGGCAGACGGGACAACCUGCAACCUCUCUAAGUCCCUUUCAACGUUCCUCAGCUCCGCGCUUACAGAGGGUGGAUCUCAGAACCAGAACAAACAGCUGCUCAUUGAGUCCUGAGAGUGCCUGAGUGGGGGCGUCCAAGGAGGCCGUGGUGUGGGCGGAGCAGCUGCAGGGACAACGAUGACAACAGUGCUGGAGGGGCCCAGAGUCCAGUGAGCAUGGCCCUUUUUCAGAAGGACCUGGGGGAGGUGCUGGUGCCUGGACAGAAGUGAAGCAGCCUGCAGGACAUGGGAAAUCAAAUAGGAGCUUCUUGUCCUCUCCAUCUCCUCACGACCACCCCCCACAGGCCCAGCUCCCCAGCCAUCCUGUGUGUGCGUGGGCCUGGGGUGUCUGAGGACUGGCCCCCUCUUCUCCUGUCCUCUUCCGUGUCAGCGGCUUCCACCUCCCCGAGGAUCCCUCCCAUCCUCGCAUCCUUGUCAGGCCUGGCACAGGUAUCGCUCCCUUCCACAGUUUCUGGCAGCAGCGGCUCCAUGACUCCCAGCGGAAGGGUAAGGCUGGAGGCUUCCCAGGUGGCAGGGGCACCAGGGGCAGCGCCUGCCUA
rnacentral:lncRNA from 10 species